GAAUUAAAAAAUAUAUCUUAGUAGGGGUGUCUCCCCUCUCUGUGGCCGGGUAAGAUAACAUGCAACUUUAGUUUUAUGGCUGUUGGGUCAUCGCGGCCUGACCCCGUGCUGGAAAGAGCAGCCCCUUUGUUUGAGACACAGAUGGUUUGCAGAUUACCCCUCCCUCCUUUAGAGGAGGCGGGCAGACACUGUAUUAAAGAAAGUCUCGGCAAAACUUAAGAUCAGACAGACUUAUCCACCGCGCGAGAAAACAUCUUGUAAUGAACUUUAUCUCCAGUUCCUGUGUUUGGAUUUUGCUGGUACGUAAACAAUGGCUGGACGAUGUCUCGCGUUCAACUCGCCUUCAACUCCUCUUUCAGCCAGUCCGCAGACUGACGAGAAGAAACUGCUGAUUGCUAUCAGUGGACUGUCUCGUCAGCUUACUCAACAUACUGCCGACAUGAAUGAGCGGUUCACUCAACUGGAGAAUUCGGUACACUCCAGAAUGCUGUCCUUAGAGGACAAGAUGGCGGCUACGCAGUCGAACAACUGUGCGGGAGACACGAACUCCAAGAAGAGAAGACGGGUCCACAAUCCCAAGCUAGCGGUAAAUAUAUGUCCGAUUACUGCUUGCUAGGCUAAAAGAGUAGCCUUGCAAGAACAAGCUUUAUUAAAGUGUAAUUUAUGUGAUUCACAGGAAGCAGUACGGCGUCUUCACAACUCGGAGACAAAUUGCAGGCGCUAUGAACCGGAGCAAGGGCAAGAUUUAAAGAAUAUGCUUUCAUUCUGCGGUAAAAGGAAAUAGAUACGGAUAGAUACCUAUCAUAACUGCACAUUUUGUUUUCACAGACUACUCUCGCCUCAUAAUGAGGCGGUGACCUCCUAUUUGCUCGGAGCAAUAUCUGCAAGCCUCGAUUUACACAAUGUUGAUAAAGACGACAUUGUGUCCGCCUGUAAGACGUAUUAUGAGAUGGUACGCAGGAGCUUCAGAUAUACGCAGCCAGAGAACUCAAUGCGGGCGGAAGCUGCCAAGAAUUCUGCGCGGAGUCGAGCGAGAAGAAAGAGGCUGCUGGAAUCGAGGCAGAGCGUGCUAGCUGAUGAGGAAGUGGAACUCUGGAAGUCCGCCACCGUCGACCUCAUGUCUGACUAGGAAGAUGGCGUCGUUGGCGGGGUCUCUGGAUGGAUUGUACGGCCGCCGUCAUUUCGUCGGCCGGAUCUGUCUGAACUCUGUAUGAAGCUGCAGUCCCGGUUAGAGGCGACGCCGAAGUACAAAGCCAUGCACAGCAGGCGUCUGCACAUCGGACCUGCCUCGGAAAGAACGCCGCCAGCAGUUACCUACAACC